rnacentral:rRNA from 1 species
GACGAACGCUGGCGGCGUGCCUAAUACAUGCAAGUAGAACGCUGAAGGAGGAGCUUGCUCUUCUGGAUGAGUUGCGAACGGGUGAGUAACGCGUAGGUAACCUGCCUGGUAGCGGGGGAUAACUAUUGGAAACGAUAGCUAAUACCGCAUAACAGUAGAUGUUGCAUGACAUUUGCUUAAAAGGUGCAAUUGCACCACUACCAGAUGGACCUGCGUUGUAUUAGCUAGUUGGUGGGGUAACGGCUCACCAAGGCGACGAUACAUAGCCGACCUGAGAGGGUGAUAGGCCACACUGGGACUGAGACACGGCCCAGACUCCUACGGGAGGCAGCAGUAGGGAAUCGUCGGCAAUGGACGGAAGUCUGACCGAGCAACGCCGCGUGAGUGAAGAAGGUUUUCGGAUCGUAAAGCUCUGUUGUAAGAGAAGAACGAGUGUGAGAGUGGAAAGUUCACACUGUGACGGUAUCUUACCAGAAAGGGACGGCUAACUACGUG